rnacentral:rRNA from 3 species
AGAACCCGAUCCCAUCUCGAACUCGGCCGUUAAACGCACCAGCGCCCAUGGUACUGUGUCUCAAGACACGGGAGAGUCGGUCGCCGCCA